UUGAACGCUGGCGGCAGGCCUAACACAUGCAAGUCGAGCGGUUGAGAGUAGCUUGCUACUUGAUGCAGCGGCGGACGGGUGAGUAACGCGUGGGAAUCUGCCCAGUAGUGGGGGACAACAGCCGGAAACGGCUGCUAAUACCGCAUACGCCCUACGGGGGAAAGGGGGGGAUCUUCGGACCUCUCGCUAUUGGAUGAGCCCGCGUCGGAUUAGCUAGUUGGUAGGGUAAAGGCCUACCAAGGCUACGAUCCGUAACAGGUCUGAGAGGAUGAUCAGUCACACUGGAACUGAGACACGGUCCAGACUCCUACGGGAGGCAGCAGUGGGGAAUAUUGGACAAUGGGGGAAACCCUGAUCCAGCCAUGCCGCGUGUGUGAAGAAGGCCUUAGGGUUGUAAAGCACUUUCAGUGGGGAGAAAGGUUUGUCACCUAAUACGUGAUGAAAUUGAUGUUACCCACAGAAGAAGCACCGGCUAACUCCGUGCCAGCCGCCGCCGUAA
rnacentral:rRNA from 1 species